AUGCAAGGGAGAUUGAGGGGUCAGUGCUGGCUGGUUAUGAUGCCCGUGGGAUCCAACAGAGAGAAGGUGAUCAAUUCUCAUAUUCUCUGAAGACUGGAGUUGAUCAUCUCAGUGUGAAGAAAAUGUUCCAAUUAACUAUGAAACCCUCAAAAGCUCCUCUACUGAAAUGUCUAUGGCCCUGAAAGUAAUCAAUGAUUAGAACUACAAAGGGAAGCAAAGAAGAUCAUGAAACAAGAGGGAGAAGC